UUGAACGCUGGCGGCAUGCUUUACACAUGCAAGUCGAACGGCAGCAUGGGUGCUUGCACCUGAUGGCGAGUGGCGAACGGGUGAGUAAUGUAUCGGAACAUAUCCGCAAGUGGGGGAUAACGUAGCGAAAGUUACGCUAAUACCGCAUAUUCCCUGAGGGGGAAAGGAGGGGAUCCGCAAGGACCUUUCGCUUACGGAGUGGCCGAUAUCAGAUUAGCUAGUUGGUGGGGUAAAGGCCUACCAAGGCGACGAUCUGUAGCGGGUCUGAGAGGAUGAUCCGCCACACUGGGACUGAGACACGGCCCAGACUCCUACGGGAGGCAGCAGUGGGGAAUUUUGGACAAUGGGGGCAACCCUGAUCCAGCCAUGCCGCGUGAGUGAAGAAGGCCUUCGGGUUGUAAAGCUCUUUCAGCUGGAAAAAAAUCGCAUCACCUAAUACGUGGUGUGGAUGAUGGUACCAGCAGAAGAAGCACCGGCUAACUACGUGCCAGCAGCCGCGGUAAUACGUAGGGUGCGAGCGUUAAUCGGAAUUACUGGGCGUAAAGCGUGCGCAGGCGGUUUUGUAAGA
rnacentral:rRNA from 1 species